UGCAUUCACUACUGUAAGUCGCUCUGGAUAAGAGCGUCUGCUAAAUGACAUAGA
rfam:Salmo salar isolate Sally breed double haploid chromosome ssa14, whole genome shotgun sequence.